rnacentral:lncRNA from 1 species
CAAAUGCUACAAGUACACAGCACCUCCUCUGUAACCUUUAUGUCCAACAUAAUUACAGAGAUAAUAAAAAAAAACAAUAGAAAAGAGAAAAUCAAAAAAUGAAAAUGAGAACUACAAAAGAUAUACCUUCAUUGCAAAGGAAGACGAAGACACGCAACGAAAUCGCAAUUUAUAUAAUGUAGUGUAGUGAUGAGAUAAAGAGUCUUUGACUCAACUAUUUUAAAAUAAAUGGAGAGCUGAACAGAAUUGUGGUCAACAACAGAAGAAGCAAUUAUUGCACAGAAGAAAUCCUAUGCUGAACAAGUAUUAAAUUUAAACUCGGUCUCUAUGUUGGCAAAUUGACCAACAUUUUCCGAGAAAAUUGACUGUAGGAUCACCAAUUCAUUUUUACCAAUCUUUCCGUGCCAUGCACGUUCAAAUAUUUCAUCGCUGCAUACCAUGCAUAGGCCUUUUCGUUUCAGGCUAGUCUAUUUCCUCGGUGGAAACAUGCAUACAAGUGUUUCCAAAGCACACGGGCCAAAGAAUUUAUGAACAACACGGGUCAGAUCUGGGUCAAUGAUAUUAUGAACGCCACGAACCCAAAUGUUGAUUAUGAUUAUUAUAUUGUCGUUCCAUCAGCAGCGAAGAAACUAACAAUUAACAAAUAGUUCGAUUUAAGUUUCACAAAGUUUUUUUGCCAAUUAUCAU